CAUUCUAUAUAGUCAACACUGAUCUUUAUGAAGUCAUAGGUCAUCUCUCCCCAUUACCAAGAUGGUGGCAUAGUUUCAGGGCACUGGAAGAAAGCAUGUGACCUUUCACGAAAAACCUGUUUGGACACAGACUGAGGCAGUGCUGCUGACACGAUGCCAUCAGAGCAAGCAGAAUACGGUACCUCUGGAGAAAGGAGAGAUUCCCAGGUUUCUAUUGGAAACAGACAAACCACCUCUUCUUCUCUCUGCUCGGGAUCCUAGCAUAAAUGAAGCACAAGCACAGAGUGCUGGCAUGCUCUGGAUGUGACUCUCCAGGGAACAAAGGAAGAUGGACCUGGCCUGAUGUGACUUUUAUCUGAAUACUAACCUCAUUGUUGCUCUCAAAUGUGGGUUCUAACUUGUCCAUGGCUCUGUCAAGGAUGUGCAGAAGCCCAUUGGAAGCAAUGAUGUCCCCUUGUAUAAUUUUUACCUUCUUUUUGCCUCCAUAGAGUUUAAGCUUUAUUUGAUUGUCCUAAAACACCAAAGAAAGAUAAAAUAAGAUUACUAUGGUGUCCUGGAAGGAGCAAGCACUGGAGUAGAGUCAGAAGUCUUGAGUCCUUGGGCUUUGAUAUUUACUGGCAAUGUGAUUUUGGAUAAGUCACUUAAUCUAAAGUGGGGAUGAAAGUAUCUGCUUUGUUAACCUCACAGGGUUUUCAUUAAGAUCAAAUGAUAUGAUGUGUGAAAGCACUGACAACUAUAUAUGCUAUACCUGGGCAAGGUAUUAUCAAGCUCUUCUCCAGCAGACUGCAAGCUUCAUAAGGACAAAACUAUUUAAUUUACUAUAAAUUCAUCACUCACUUUAGUGUCUUGCACAGAGAAGGCACACAAUAAAAAUAUUUGUGGAAU